rnacentral:rRNA from 1 species
UACGAAGGGGGCUAGCGUUGCUCGGAAUCACUGGGCGUAAAGCGCACGUAGGCGGCUUUUUAAGUCAGGGGUGAAAUCCUGGAGCUCAACUCCAGAACUGCCUUUGAUACUGAGAAGCUUGAGUCCGGAAGAGGCGAGUGGAAUUCCUGGUGUAGCGGUGAAAUGCGCAGAUAUCAGGAGGAACACCAAUGGCGAAGGCAGCUCGCUGGGACGGUACUGACGCUGAGACGCGAAAGCGUGGGGAGCGAACAGG